rnacentral:rRNA from 1 species
GACGAACGCUGGCGGCGUGCCUAAUACAUGCAAGUCGAGCGGACAGAAGGGAGCUUGCUCCCGGAUGUUAGCGGCGGACGGGUGAGUAACACGUGGGUAACCUGCCUGUAAGACUGGGAUAACUCCGGGAAACCGGAGCUAAUACCGGAUAGUUCCUUGAACCGCAUGGUUCAAGGAUGAAAGACGGUUUCGGCUGUCACUUACAGAUGGCCCCGCGGCGCAUUAGCUAGUUGGUGAGGUAACGGCUCACCAAGGCGACGACGCGUAGCCGACCGGAGAGGGUGAUCGGCCACACUGGGACUGAGACACGGCCCAGACUCCUACGGGAGGCAGCAGUAGGGAAUCUUCCGCAAUGGACGAAAGUCUGACGGAGCAACGCCGCGUGAGUGAUGAAGGUUUUCGGAUCGUAAAGCUCUGUUGUUAGGGAAGAACAAGUGCAAGAGUAACUGCUUGCACCUUGACGGUACCUAACCAGAAAGCCACGGCUAACUACGUGCCAGCAGCCGCCGUAA